rnacentral:rRNA from 1 species
UACGUAGGGUGCGAGCGUUGUCCGGAAUUAUUGGGCGUAAAGAGCUCGUAGGCGGCUUGUUGCGUCGGAUGUGAAAGCCCGGGGCUUAACUCCGGGUCUGCAUUCGAUACGGGCAGGCUAGAGUUCGGUAGGGGAGAUCGGAAUUCCUGGUGUAGCGGUGAAAUGCGCAGAUAUCAGGAGGAACACCGGUGGCGAAGGCGGAUCUCUGGGCCGUAACUGACGCUGAGGAGCGAAAGCGUGGGGAGCGAACAGG